UCGAGGAUCUUCGGCAAUGGACGCAAGUCUGACCGAGCGACGUCGCGUGCGGGAUAAGGCCUUCGGGUUGUAAACCGCUGUCAGAGGGGAGGAAAUCGCCGGGGGCUAUCCCCCGGUGUUGACCGAGCCUCAGAGGAAGCACGGGCUAAGUUCGUGCCAGCAGCCGCGGUAAUACGAACUGUGCGAACGUUAUUCGGAAUCACUGGGCUUAAAGGGUGCGUAGGCGGCCGCUUAAGUAGGGUGUGAAAUG
rnacentral:rRNA from 1 species